rnacentral:lncRNA from 1 species
CCUCCAUCUUCAACGCAGGGGUAUACGUCGACUUCCACUCACACACACCGCGGGCAACCAGUAUCAUCUCACCUCAGCCAACCAGCGACCAGAGCAGUGAUGCGUGGAGCCGACCCGCAUGACGCCACAGGGGCUGCUGGGUAACACCCCUACACCAGCUUCCCAGCUCCCCCAACGCUUGGCCGCAGGACAUGGCAGGAAAGCUAGUGAUGGAAAUUGAGACACAAGACAGAGGCAUAUAAAGAGAUGGCCAUAUGACAGUCAAGGCAGAGACUGA